rnacentral:rRNA from 1 species
UACGGAGGGUGCAAGCGUUGUUCGGAAUUACUGGGCGUAAAGCGCGUGUAGGCGGUUCGGUAAGUCGGUUGUGAAAGCCCCGAGCUCAACUCGGGAAUUGCGUCCGAAACUGCCGGACUGGAGUCCCGGAGAGGAUGGCGGAAUUCCCGGUGUAGGGGUGAAAUCCGUAGAUAUAGGGAGGAACACCAGCGGCGAAGGCGGCCAUCUGGACGGUGACUGACGCUGAGACGCGAAAGCGUGGGGAGCAAACAGG